rfam:Theobroma cacao cultivar Matina 1-6 chromosome 1, whole genome shotgun sequence.
UGGCGAAGGUCCCAGCAGGGAGGUGAGUGCUCUAUGAUUUGAGACUUCUCUAACGAUGAAACAAAAAUGCCUUCGCAAAUGAAUUUAGCCGAAUCGUAGGAUGCCCAAUUAGUCCAUUUUUGGAGCGUCUGGAACCCUCGGCAACAUCCAA